ACUUUCAAAGGAUAAAAGUCAAUCCAUUGGUCUUAGGCGCCAAACCUCUUGGUGCAACUCCAAGUGAAAGUA
rnacentral:tRNA from 1 species